rnacentral:tRNA from 1 species
CGGGAGGCCNGCACGACGGGCUAUUAGCUCAGUGGUAGCGAUGAUUUACUUCACGGGCGAGGUCUCUGGUUC